GAUAACGCUAGCGGCAGGCCUAACACAUGCAAGUCGAACGGUAACAGGGAAAAGCUUGCUUUUCCGCUGACGAGUGGCGCACGGGUGCGUAACGCGUAUACAAUCUACCUCUUACAGGGGGAUAGCCUUUAGAAAUGAAGAUUAAUACCCCAUGGCAUUAUAAACCGGCAUCGGUUUAUAAUUAAAGUUUCGGCGGUAGGAGAUGAGUAUGCGUUCUAUUAGCUAGUAGGUGUGGUAACGGCACACCUAGGCAACGAUAGAUAGGGGCCCUGAGAGGGGGAUCCCCCACACUGGUACUGAGACACGGACCAGACUCCUACGGGAGGCAGCAGUGAGGAAUAUUGGACAAUGGGCGGAAGCCUGAUCCAGCCAUGCCGCGUGCAGGAAGACUGCCCUAUGGGUUGUAAACUGCUUUUGUACAGGAAGAAACCUUUCCACGUGUGGAGAGCUGACGGUACUGUAAGAAUAAGCAUCGGCUAACUCCGUGCCAGCAGCCGCGGUAAUACGGAGGAUGCAAGCGUUAUCCGGAAUCAUUGGGUUUAAAGGGUCC
rnacentral:rRNA from 1 species